AGCCACCUUCGGGUGGUGGACAGUGGCAGACGGGUGAGUAACGCGUGGGAACGUGCCUUUCGGUUCGGGAUAACCCAGGGAAACUUGGGCUAAUACCGGAUACGCCCUCCGGGGGAAAGAUUCAUUGCCGAAAGAUCGGCCCGCGUCGGAUUAGCUAGUUGGUGGGGUAAAAGCCUACCAAGGCGACGAUCCGUAGCUGGUCUGAGAGGAUGACCAGCCACACUGGGACUGAGACACGGCCCAGACUCCUACGGGAGGCAGCAGUGGGGAAUAUUGGACAAUGGGCGCAAGCCUGAUCCAGCCAUGCCGCGUGGGUGAAGAAGGCCCUAGGG
rnacentral:rRNA from 1 species